ACGCUGGAGCCGGAACAGUCAGGGAGCAGAGAGCUGGACACGGGGCUUGGGGCUCAGGCAGUCGGCCUCCGGGUCUCCAAGGUGAAGCAGGAAGUGGGUGGUCGGGGCCGGGUGGUGGCUGAGGGCAGGGGCCACAGCGGUGCCGCCCACAGGAUGCCCUCACCGUGGUGGUGGAUGACCUCCGCCUGUGCUCUGUGAAGCCGUGUGAGGACAUCGAGCGGAGGUUCUGCUUCGAGGUGCUGUCACCCACCAAGUGAGGAGGCCCAGCCCAGGGUGGGGUGGGGGGCGUACCUGCCCACCGGAGCUGACGCCCGCCCCUCCACUGCCUGCAGGAGCUGCAUGCUGCAGGCUGACUCCGAGAAGCUGCGGCAAGCCUGGGUCCAGGCUGUGCAGGCCAGCAUCGCCUCCGCCUACCGCGAGAGCCCUGACAGUUGCUAUAGCGAGAGGCUGGACCGCACAGCAUCCCCGUCCACGAGCAGCAUCGACUCCGCCACCGACACUCGGGAGCGCGGCGUGAAGGGCGAGAG
rnacentral:sRNA from 1 species